AACCAGCACCUCAAGUGGUCAGGAGGAUUAUUGGGCCUAAAGCAUCCGUAGCCGGCUCUGUAAGUUUUCGGUUAAAUCUAUAUGCUCAACGUAUAGACCGCCGAAAAUACUGCAGUGCUAGGAAGUGGGAGAGGUAGACGGUACUCGGUAGGAAGGGGUAAAAUCCUUUGAUCUAUCGAUGACCACCUGUGGCGAAGGCGGUCUACCAGAACACGUUCGACGGUGAGGGAUGAAAGCUGGGGGAGCAAACCGG
rnacentral:rRNA from 1 species